GAGGGUAUAGCUCAGUGGUAGAGUGCAUGCUCAUGUGUGAGGUCCUGGGUUCAAUCCCCAGUACCUCUG
rnacentral:tRNA from 1 species